rnacentral:rRNA from 1 species
AUUGAACGCUGGCGGCAGGCCUAACACAUGCAAGUCGAGCGGUAGCACAGAGAGCUUGCUCUCGGGUGACGAGCGGCGGACGGGUGAGUAAUGUCUGGGAAACUGCCUGAUGGAGGGGGAUAACUACUGGAAACGGUAGCUAAUACCGCAUAACGUCGCAAGACCAAAGUGGGGGACCUUCGGGCCUCAUGCCAUCAGAUGUGCCCAGAUGGGAUUAGCUAGUAGGUGGGGUAACGGCUCACCUAGGCGACGAUCCCUAACUGGUCUGAGAGGAUGACCAGCCACACUGGAACUGAGACACGGUCCAGACUCCUACGGGAGGCAGCAGUGGGGAAUAUUGCACAAUGGGCGCAAGCCUGAUGCAGCCAUGCCGCGUGUGUGAAGAAGGCCUUCGGGUUGUAAAGCACUUUCAGCGGGGAGGAAGGCGGUGUGGUUAAUAACCUCAUCGAUUGACGUUACCCGCAGAAGAAGCACCGGCUAACUCCGUGCCAGCCGCCGCAGUAAUAC